rnacentral:rRNA from 1 species
UACGUAGGGUGCGAGCGUUAAUCGGAAUUACUGGGCGUAAAGCGUGCGUAGGCGGUUCGUUAUGUCUGCUGUGAAAUCCCCGGGCUCAACCUGGGAACUGCAUGCAAAACUGGCAAGCUAGAGUAUGGUAGAGGGUGGUGGAAUUUCCUGUGUAGCGGUGAAAUGCGUAGAUAUAGGAAGGAACACCAGUGGCGAAGGCGACCACCUGGACUGAUACUGACACUGAGGUGCGAAAGCGUGGGGAGCAAACAGG